AUCAAUAUGACCCAAUCCAAAAACUCCCAUAGCUAACCCAAUAUAAGAUUGUGCUCAUCCAAGUCCAUGUAUGUCAAUGACUUGAUCCAAUCUCACUUCUCUUAGACUCAAAUCUAGUCCAAUACAAGUUAGCCCCUCAAGGCCCAAAUCUCCUAGACCUCAAAACUGUGAAGGUUGAUAGCCUUUUAGCCUACGACCCAAAUCAGCCCUAGAACCAUCAUGAAUACCUCAUGGAUUAUAGACUUUGGCCUUUUCUUUAGCCACCUG
rnacentral:lncRNA from 1 species